rnacentral:rRNA from 1 species
AACCUGCCUGUAAGACUGGGAUAGCUCCGGGAAACCGGAGCUAAUACCGGAUAGUUCCUUGAACCGCAUGGUUCAAGGAUGAAAGACGGUUUCGGCUGUCACUUACAGAUGGACCCGCGGCGCAUUAGCUAGUUGGUGAGGUAACGGCUCACCAAGGCGACGAUGCGUAGCCGACCUGAGAGGGUGAUCGGCCACACUGGGACUGAGACACGGCCCAGACUCCUACGGGAGGCAGCAGUAGGGAAUCUUCCGCAAUGGACGAAAGUCUGACGGAGCAACGCCGCGUGAGUGAUGAAGGUUUUCGGAUCGUAAAGCUCUGUUGUUAGGGAAGAACAAGUGCAAGAGUAACUGCUUGCACCUUGACGGUACCUAACCAGAAAGCCACGGCUAACUACGUGCCAGCAGCCGCGGUAAUACGUAGGUGGCAAGCGUUGUCCGGAAUUAUUGGGCGUAAAGGGCUCGCAGGCGGUUUCUUAAGU